UACAGGGGGUGCAAACGUUGCUCGGAAUUAUUGGGCGUAAAGCGCGCGUAGGCGGCUACUUAAGUCGGAUGUGAAAGCCCUUGGCUCAACUGAGGAAGUGCACCCGAAACUGAGUGGCUAGAGUACGAAAGAGGGUCGCGGAAUUCCCGGUGUAGAGGUGAAAUUCGUAGAUAUCGGGAGGAACACCAGUGGCGAAGGCGGCUCACUGGCCCGAUACUGACGCUGAGGUGCGAAAGCGUGGGGAGCAAACAGG
rnacentral:rRNA from 1 species